rnacentral:rRNA from 1 species
GCUCAAGUUUUUAAGGGCGCACGGUGGAUGCCUUGGCACCAGGAACCGAUGAAGGACGUAGGAAUCUGCGAUAAGCCUCGGGGAGCCGAUAACCAGGCUGUGAUCCGAGGGUUUCCGAAUGGGGGAACCCACCACGAGAUAUGUCGUGGUACCCACAUCUGAACUCAUAGGGUGUGUGGAGGGAACGUGGGGAAGUGAAACAUCUCAGUACCCACAGGAAGAGAAAACAACAUGUGAUUCCGUGAGUAGUGGCGAGCGAAAGCGGAAGAGGCUAAACCGUAGUUGUGUGAUACCUGUCAGGGGUUGCAGCUGCGGUGUUGUGGGGCCGGUCUUUUUCAUCUCUGACAGGAUGGAGGACAGUAAAAAAUCGCGCGUGUAGGUGAAGCAUCUUGAAUGGUGCGGCGUAGAGGGUGUGACUCCCGUAACCGAAACAUGUGUGACUGUCUGGACUGGUACCCGAGUAGCACGGGGCCCGUGAAAUCUCGUGUGAAUCUGGCAGGACCACCUGCUAAGCCUAAAUAUUCCCUGGUGACCGAUAGCGGACAAGUACCGUGAGGGAAAGGUGAAAAGUACCCCGGGAGGGGAGUGAAAUAGUACCUGAAACCGUGUGCUUACAAUCCGUCAAAGCCGACAUGUGCGGUGAUGGCGUGCCUUUUGAAGAAUGAGCCUGCGAGUUAGUGCUCAGUGGCGAGGUUAACCCGUGUGGGGUAGCCGUAGCGAAAGCGAGUCCGAAGAGGGCGUAUGAGUCGCUGGGUCUAGACCCGAAGCGGAGUGAUCUACCCAUGGCCAGGUUGAAGCGCCGGUAAGACGGCGUGGAGGACCGAACCCACUUAGGUUGAAAACUGAGGGGAUGAGCUGUGGGUAGGGGUGAAAGGCCAAUCAAACUCCGUGAUAGCUGGUUCUCCCCGAAAUGCAUUUAGGUGCAGCGUCACGUGUUUCUUACCGGAGGUAGAGCUACUGGAUGGCUGAUGGGCCUCACCAGGUUACUGGCGUCAACCAAACUCCGAAUGCCGGUAAGUCAGAGCGUGGCAGUGAGACGGCGGGGGAUAAGCUUCGUCGUCGAGAGGGAAACAGCCCAGAUCACCAGCUAAGGUCCCUAAGCGUGUGCUAAGUGGAAAAGGAUGUGGAGUUGCUGUGACAACCAGGAGGUUGGCUUAGAAGCAGCCACCCUUUAAAGAGUGCGUAAUAGCUCACUGGUCAAGUGAUUCCGCGCCGACAAUGUAGCGGGGCUCAAGCACACCACCGAAGCUGUGGCAUUCACACAGUCCCCUAGGUACCAGGCUUGUCCUGGUGGUUCAGGGGUGUGGAUGGGUAGGGGAGCGUCGUGUGGGCAGUGAAGCGCCGGGGUGACCCAGGCGUGGAGGCCACACGAGUGAGAAUGCAGGCAUGAGUAGCGCAUGACGGGUGAGAAACCCGUCCGCCGAAUAACCAAGGGUUCCAGGGUCAAGCUAAUCUGCCCUGGGUAAGUCGGGACCUAAGGCGAGGCCGACAGGCGUAGUCGAUGGACAUCCGGUUGAUAUUCCGGAACCGGCGAAGAACCGCCCAUAUCGAAUCAGGGGAUGCUAACCAUCCGAACCCACCGUUUCGCGUGCGUCACCUUUCGGGGUGGUGUACGUGUUGUGUGGGGGAGCGUGGGACCCGAUCUUGUAGUAGGUAAGCGAUGGAGUGACGCAGGAAGGUAGCCUCCGCGUGGCGAUGGUUGUCCACGUCUAAAACUGUAGGGAGUGGUGUAGGCAAAUCCGCACCACACAUAUCCUGAGAGUUGAUAGUGACCACGAAUGUGGGAAGUAGGGUGAUCCUAUGCUGCCAAGAAAAACUUCUAGCGAGGUUCGAGCCGCCCGUACCCUAAACCGACUCAGGUGGUUAGGUAGAGAAUACCAAGGCGAUCGAGUGAAUCGUGGUUAAGGAAUUCGGCAAAAUACCCCCGUAACUUCGGGAGAAGGGGGGCCCAAUCCUUGAAACCCCAUGCGGGUUAGGGGUGAGGGUCGCAGAGACCAGGGAGAAGCGACUGUUUACUAAAAACACAGGUCCGUGCGAAGAAGUAAUUCGAUGUAUACGGACUGACGCCUGCCCGGUGCUGGAACGUUAAGGGGACCGGUCAGUCACUUCGGUGGCGAAGCUGAGAACUUAAGCGCCAGUAAACGGCGGUGGUAACUAUAACCAUCCUAAGGUAGCGAAAUUCCUUGUCGGGUAAGUUCCGACCUGCACGAAUGGCGUAACGACUUCUCCACUGUCUCAACCACGAACUCGGCGAAAUUGCAGUACGAGUAAAGAUGCUCGUUACGCGCAGCAGGACGGAAAGACCCCGGGACCUUUACUAUAGCUUGGUAUUGGUGUUUGGUACGGUUUGUGCAGGAUAGGUGGGAGACUAUGAAGCGGGCACGCCAGUGUUCGUGGAGUCAUCGUUGAAAUACCACUCUGGUCGUUCUGAGCACCUAACUUCGGUCCGUGAUCCGGAUCAGGGACAGUGCCUGGUGGGUAGUUUAACUGGGGCGGUUGCCUCCUAAAGAGUAACGGAGGCGCCCAAAGGUUCCCUCAGCCUGGUUGGCAAUCAGGUUUCGAGUGUAAGUGCACAAGGGAGCUUGACUGUGAGACAGACACGUCGAGCAGAGACGAAAGUCGGGACUAGUGACCCGACGGUGGCUUGUGGAAGCGCCGUCGCUCAACGGAUAAAAGGUACCCCGGGGAUAACAGGCUGAUCUUGCCCAAGAGCUCAUAUCGACGGCAUGGUUUGGCACCUCGAUGUCGGCUCGUCGCAUCCUGGGGCUGGAGUAGGUCCCAAGGGUUGGGCUGUUCGCCCAUUAAAGCGGUACGCGAGCUGGGUUUAGAACGUCGUGAGACAGUUCGGUCCCUAUCCGCUGCGCGCGCAGGAAACUUGAGAAGACCUGUCCCUAGUACGAGAGGACCGGGAUGGACGAACCUCUGGUAUGUCAGUUGUCACGCCAGUGGCACGGCUGAUUCGCUACGUUCGGAAGUGAUAACCGCUGAAAGCAUCUAAGCGGGAAGCACGCUUCAAGAUGAGGUUUCCAUCACCCCUUGGGGUGUGAAGGCACCCAGCUAGACUACUGGGUUGAUAGGCCGGAUGUGGACACACCGUAAGGUGCGUAGCUGACCGGUACUAAUCUGCCGACAACUUGACACC